AGAGUUUGAUCCUGGCUCAGAGCGAACGCUGGCGGCGUACUUAACACAUGCAAGUCGAACGGGAAUCGUCGGGUUAGCAAUAAUUCGGCGGUUUUAGUGGCGCACGGGUGAGUAACACGUGGGUAACCUGCCCUUGAGUUCGGGAUACCCCCUCGAAAGGGGGGCUAAUACCGGAUACGGUCCUCGGGUCGAAAGGCCUGGGGAAGAAAGGUAGCGCAAGCUGCCGCUCUUGGAGGGGCUCGCGGCCUAUCAGCUAGUUGGCGGGGUAACGGCCCACCAAGGCUAUGACGGGUAGCUGGUCUGAGAGGACGACCAGCCACACGGGGACUGAGACACGGCCCCGACUCCUACGGGGGCCAGCAGUGGGGAAUUUUCCGCAAUGGGCGAAAGCCUGACGGAGUGACGCCGCGUGUGGGACGAAGGCCUUCGGGUCGUAAACCACUGUCAGUGGGAAAGAUGGGUGUCGGCGUGAACAGCGCCGAUACUUGACGGUACCUGCAGAGGAAGCCCCGGCCAACUCUGUGCCAGCAGCCGCGGUAAGACAGAGGGGGCAAGCGUUGCUCGGAAUUACUGGGCGUAAAGGGCGCGUAGGCGGAAUGGCAAGUCGGUCGUGAAAUCCUUCGGCUCAACCGAAGAACAUCGAUCGAAACUGCCGUUCUUGAGGAUUGCAGAGGAGACUGGAAUUCCCGGUGUAGCGGUGAAAUGUGUAGAGAUCGGGAGGAACACCGGUGGCGAAGGCGGGUCUCUGGGCAAUUCCUGACGCUGGGGCGCGAAAGCGUGGGGAGCAAACGGGAUUAGAUACCCCGGUAGUCCCGCUGUAAACGAUGACGACUAGUGUGGGGGGGUUCAGUCC
rnacentral:rRNA from 1 species